rnacentral:rRNA from 1 species
AUUACAAUGAGAAAAUCCGUUAGGCACUUUUAUGCAGGUAUGGUAUGAAGUUAAAGAGUAAUAAAACUUAUUAGUUGUACCUUUUGUAUCAGGGGGCUUUUAAAGUAUAUUAAGGGUAAAGUCGAGUUGGUCAGAUUUUUUUAUUAAAGCGGUAGUGGAAUUUAUAGUUAGAAUAUAGUAAGAGGUGAAAAAUGUACGGUGACCAUGGUAGCUAAUUACUUUAAGGUCCGAGAAGUUAAGCUCUCAGUAGUUUAUGCUAAAAAAUUAAUUAGAAAACUUGGCUUUAGGUUAGCUAUGUUAGUAUAUUGUUAUAAGUAAUCCUUACGGAGUAUAGGGCUAUAAAAUUGCAAGGUAGUAAUAAAAAAUAUUAUUUAUUAUUUAAUAUGAAGCUAUUGAAUGGGGGACGAAAUUAAAAAACAACUUUUAGCAGGUAAGAUAGUUUAGCAAAAACAUUUUUUGCAGGGGUUGUAAGUAAAGCCUGCCCAGUGCUAAGUUAACGGCCGCGGUAUUUUGACUGUGCUAAGGUAGCGUAAUCAUUUGUUUUUUAAUUGAGAACUGGAAUGAAGGGUCAAACUUACUUGUUUAGUUUGUAGGUUGAAAAAUAUAUUUAAGUAAAGGUAAGAAUUCCUUUAUCUUCUAGGGGACGAUAAGACCCUAGAAGCUUUAAAAGAAGAUUUUUUGGUUGUUUUAAAAACUUAUUUUUUUUUACUGGGGCGGUAGUAGUGUUUGAACCAUUUUAGCCAUUAAAGGAUCCUCACUAUGGAGAUAAAUUGGAUAAGUUACUCUAGGGGUAACAGUACAAUAAUUUUGGAGAGUCCUUAUCGAUAAAAUUGGUUGUAACCUCGAUGUU